GCCAGGCAUGGUGGCGCAUGCCUGUAAUCCCAGCUACUCAGGAGGCUGAGGGAGGAGAAUUGCUUGAACCCAGGGGGCAGAGGUUGCAGUGAGCUGAGAUUGUGCCAUUGCACCCCAGCCUGGGUGAGAGAGCAAGAAUCUGUCUCAA
rnacentral:SRP_RNA from 1 species